GAUGAACGCUAGCGGCAGGCCUAACACAUGCAAGUCGAGGGAGAAGCCCUUUCGGGGGCAGAAACCGGCGCACGGGUGCGUAACGCGUAUGCAACCUACCUUUCACAGGGGGAUAGCCCGAAGAAAUUUGGAUUAAUACCCCAUAAUAUUGUUGGAUGGCAUCAUCUGGCAAUUAAAGCUACGACGGUGAAAGAUGGGCAUGCGUCCUAUUAGCUAGUUGGAGUGGUAACGGCACCCCAAGGCUACGAUAGGUAGGGGUCCUGAGAGGGAGAUCCCCCACACUGGUACUGAGACAGGGACCAGACUCCUACGGGAGGCAGCAGUGAGGAAUAUUGGUCAAUGGUCGGAAGACUGAACCAGUCAUGCCGCGUGCAGGAAGAAUGCCUUAUGGGUUGUAAACUGCUUUUAUAUGGAAGAAUAAGGUGUACGUGUACAUGAUGACGGUACCAUAGAUAG
rnacentral:rRNA from 1 species